GCUCCCGUAGCUCAGUUGGUUAGAGCGCGGUGCUUAUAACGCCGAGGCCGAGGGUUCAAGCCCCUCCGGGAGCA
rnacentral:tRNA from 1 species